rnacentral:misc_RNA from 1 species
AAGUCGUAACAAGGUUUCCGUAGGUGAACCUGCGGAAGGAUCAUUAACAAAUGUUUCCACACCACCCAUCUUGUGAACUGUUACCCAUCUUUGGCGUGCCCUUUGAGCCUUAAAAAAGCUCAUUGGGGGUCGUAUGGCCGAUUUAACGACGACGGCAUCUUUGGAUGCCCGAGAUCUACGGUCUACCGCGUCGUUUUUGUAUUCAUUUACAAAGUCUACCUAUUACUGUACAAUCUUGCUGACAUCAAUAUAUUAAAUUAUAUACAAUGACAACUUUUAGCAAUGGAUCUCUAGGCUCUU